rnacentral:lncRNA from 1 species
CUGUAAUUAGAGGCAGCAAAUGCAAAGCACAUAUUAACUUUUCUGGUGGCUGAGCUGCCUUGCGUAUGCCUCCGUACAGAAUGCUGCUCAAAUAUAAAUUAGCCUUUGCAAAGCACACUUGGUGGAUAAAUAAAGGGGAGGAAAAGGACUCCUUGAAGUUUUGCUGUUAGGUACCAAAAGCAAGAGAGAAGGCCAUGUGUGCUGUGUUGGCAAGGAAGGCCAAUACAAGGCAAAGCGCUCACCCACGCAAGGUGAGAGGUGCUUGUGGUGUAGAUGUGACCACCUCUGUGCCCAGGAGGCAGAAGCUGUGAUGUGCUGGGCAGAAGGGGUUGCAAAUACGGAUGGAGCCCCAGCUGAACGAAAGGUCUGAGCAUUUGGGUAAUUUUGGCCAGGAGCAGUGUGACUGCGAGCAGUUCAGGUCCUGCUUGUGUCAGAGCCUGGCAGGAAAACACACAUUUCUGCUAUCUGCUUCCAGAGGCCCUAUGCAAUGCAGUGGCCAAGGACAUCCUCAGAACCCCGUGAGCAUUUCUGCUCUUCAAGUGCGGCAUGUGCAAAGGCUUUGCUCUUGGCUGUGGCCCACCUGUGCACCAAAAUGCAAGCCCCCGGGAGUAAGAAGGCUGCAGGGGUGAGCAUGAUGAGAAAUCACACCGCACCUGGCUUCUCCUCCCUAAUCUCCUGCCCAGGAGGCAGGGGAAACUCCUUGUUAAUCAGAUGUUUCCCCGAGCCAAAUGAACCCCACUUGCAUAACUCAUGCACUGGGGGUUCUGCACCACCGUGGAUGGGAUCGUGUCUGGCAGCUGAUGGCCGAGAGGACACUGUUGGGACCCCAUGGCAGCGGGACUGGGAAGCCCUGCACACCAGCUCACCCUCAGGCUGUCAGCAUCUCCAGUACAGCACCCCCAGGGUUUCUGAGGGGUUGUCAGGAGCAGUGAGUGGCAAAACCUGGGGAACCUGGGUUGUGACGGAUGUCUGCAGUGUCUGCCAGCAGCGGCUGCUGAUACUCGUGUGGCCUGUGAACUGGUUAGAAGUCUACAGUCUUCUGAAAUCCAAGGUGUGUGGUGGCUCUCCACAGGAAAGCCCUACAAAAUGGUGA